rnacentral:rRNA from 1 species
CAGUAGCCGCGGUAAUACGAAGGGUGCAAGCGUUAAUCGGAAUUACUGGGCGUAAAGCGUGCGUAGGCGGUUUGUUAAGUCUGUUGUGAAAUCCCCGGGCUCAACCUGGGAAUGGCAAUGGAUACUGGCAAGCUAGAAUGUGUCAGAGGAUGGUGGAAUUCCCGGUGUAGCGGUGAAAUGCGUAGAGAUCGGGAGGAACAUCAGUGGCGAAGGCAGCCCCCUGGGCCAAUACUGACGCUCAUGCACGAAAGCGUGGGGAGCAAACAGGAUUAGAUACCCGGGUAGUCCCUGUCUCUUAUAC